CCCCUGAGAGAGCUUCCAUGGGAGGAAGCACAGGGAGCCAAGCCACAGUCUGAAUACAGCUGCAGACAAGCUUCUACUUGGAUCCAGUAGCAGCUCUUCCUCCUCUGAUUAAGUUUGCAGUAUAAAGGAGACCAAAGUGGACUCAAAGAACUCAAGGGAGGAAGAAGGCAGAGCGAAAGCUUGAAUCUGGACUGAGUGUGAAAAGAUACAGGCAAUGGGCUUGGAGAGAUGGCCCAGCAUUUAAGAGCAAGUACCGCUUGCAGAGGACUUGAGUUCAGUUUCCAGUCCCCAUGCCAGGUGACCCUUACAGCUGCCUGUAUUUCCAGCUCCAGGGGCUCUAAUUCCCUCUUAUGAACUCCUGGGGCACCGAGACAUGUGCAUAUCCCCUGCCCCCUUCCCACAUAGUUAAAGGCAGAGCAGGGGAAAAUAUCUCUUGUGAAAGAAAGAAGGAGGAGGAGGAGGAGGAGGAGGAAAAGAAGAAGAAGAAGAAGGAGGAGAAGAAGAAGAAGAAGAAGAAGAAGAAGAAGAAGAAGAACCACCACCACCACCA
rnacentral:lncRNA from 1 species